GGGUGUAUAGCUUAUAUAAAGUUUCAGAUUCUUACUCUGAGGAAGUUUUAAGAAACUACUCUCA
rnacentral:tRNA from 1 species